UCGCAAAUAGCUCAAUGGUUGAGCAAUUUUCUUGUAAAAAAUCGGUUAUAGGUUCGAUUCCUAUUUUGCAAU
rnacentral:tRNA from 1 species